CCAGACUCCUACGGGAGGCAGCAGUGGGGAAUAUUGGGCAAUGGAGGCAACUCUUACCCAGCAAUGCCGCGUGAAUGAAGAAGGUCUUCGGAUUGUAAAGUUCUUUAAUUGGGGACGAAAAAAAUGACGGUACCCAGGGAAUAAGCCCCGACUAACUACGUGCCAGCAGUCGCGGUAAUACGUAGGGGGCAAGCGUUGUUCGGAAUGACUGGGCGUAAAGGGUGUGUAGGCGGUGUAGCAAGUUAGAAGUGAAAUACCUAGAGCUUAACUCAGGUGCUGCUUCUAAAACUGCCAUACUUGAGUGCAGUAGAGGAAAGUGGAAUUCCUAGUGUAGCGGUGGAAUGCGUAGAUAUUAGGAGGAACACCAGUGGCGAAGGCGGUCUGCUGGACAGCAACUGACGCUGAGGCGCGAAAGCGUGGGGAGCAAACAGGAUUAGAUACCCCGGUA
rnacentral:rRNA from 1 species